rnacentral:tRNA from 1 species
UGGCUGAGUGGUAAAGCGCUUGACUUUCGAACAAGGGUCCGGGGUUCGAAUCCUAG